rnacentral:misc_RNA from 1 species
ACUAUUGAUACAACAAUAAAGGCAGCUUAAUUGCUCAUUCUUUCGGUUAGUUCUUACACAGCCUAUUUCUACAAAUAAUUUGGUCUAUUGCAUAUGUACAAGUUGUCUUUUCUGUUUGACCCUAAAAUUUCAGCUAGACUCUGGGAUGUUAGAUAGCCUUAUCAGCCAAUGCUAACUUAAUCCUCAUUAAAUUCAGAUGAAAAAGUAAUGAUACUGGAGGUGUUGUCUUUAAGUUGGCCGUUAACAACUGCUAACAUUAUUAUGGUCAGUUUGUUUUGUCACAGAAGUUUAAGCAAGAUACAGAGUAAGGAGGAUUAGGCUUAUGCUAUAAUCUAGCAAACUUCUGCCUUGAUUUUUGUGUUGUGCUUCAUUUUGUUUUCUCUUUCUUUGGCUGAAUAUGACAAAAAUAAUGAUAAUAUGGAGUAAACAAUAAAAAGAAGAAGCCUUGGCUUUUGGGUUUUUAAACUUGGAGUCUAGGACUGAGAGAAAGCCCAUAUAUGGCCUAUUUAUUCUUGCUGAAUAAAAAUUCAAAUUGUACAUAGUCUGUUGGAUCAUAAGGGAGGAGGGACCUAAAAGCCUAAUGAUUUUGCAAAUUUGUUUUCCUUUAUUGAUCCAAACAGAUUUGAUUUACAUGAUAAAGGUUUGAAACGGAGACUUGAAUGUUUAUCGGUUAUCCACCAGGUCCAAGAAGAGGGGAAGGAGAAGGAAAAUUAAGGCUUAAUAUUUAUUGUCGGAGUUUAGCUACUACUAGUCCAACAAUUUUCAAAAUGUUUGUUGGGAAGGGGGUGAUGUUUGUAGAUUUUUUAAGAGGUGAAGCACAUGGUUGGGAUUCCUCAGAUUUGAUCUGAGGCCUUUAAUUAUUUGGAUGAUCCUGAAGCUCUAAUUGACUUGUUGAAAGGAUUGGAAUCGUUUGCGGGCCACUAUUCUUUCAAAGUUAAUUCUUUGUGCAUUCAAAUUAUUGCAGAAUUCGUGAGUAAUUGGGAACUGAUUGAGCACACAUGCUAUUUACUUUUCCCCAGAUUGGCUUACUCUCCUUGACUAUGUAUUUUCUCCUAGAUAUUCUUACUUAUUUUAUAUUUGAGAAUCCAGGUGCAUCUCUCGAGGCAUUAUCAUAAGAGUUCACCCCAUGGACUUCAUAACAAGUUUGUGUAUCUAUUAUGUACGCCAACUGAAUUGGUUCCUUUGCGGUGUUCAGGAAGCCUUGUUCAGGGUAUAAAUUGAAGGAGAUGACUGGCAGUGGUAUAUUUGCAGCUAAUGGUGGAGGUGAUGCAUCUGAAUCUGGUAAAACUAGUGUGCGUGUUUAUCAGCAAGCAAUGAAUGGAAUUAGUCAAAUAUCAUUUAAUACUGAAGAGAGUAUCUCUCCUAAGAAGCCUACCUCUCUUCCUGAAGUAGCAAAGCAGCGCGAAUUAAGUGGGACUUUGCAAAGUGAGUCAGACAUGAAGAGUAAAAAGCAGAU